rnacentral:rRNA from 1 species
ACGGGUGAGUAACACGUGAGUAACCUGCCCUUGACUCUGGGAUAACCUCCGGAAACGGAAGCUAAUACCGGAUACGAACUGCGAAGGCAUCUUCAGCAGUUGGAAAGAACUUCGGUCAAGGAUGGACUCGCGGCCUAUCAGGUAGUUGGUGAGGUAACGGCCCACCAAGCCUACGACGGGUAGCCGGCCUGAGAGGGUGACCGGCCACACUGGGACUGAGACACGGCCCAGACUCCUACGGGAGGCAGCAGUGGGGAAUAUUGCACAAUGGGCGCAAGCCUGAUGCAGCAACGCCGCGUGAGGGAUGACGGCCUUCGGGUUGUAAACCUCUUUUAGUAGGGAAGAAGCGAAAGUGACGGUACCUGCAGAAAAAGCACCGGCUAACUACGUGCCAGCAGCCGCGGUAAUACGUAGGGUGCGAGCGUUGUCCGGAAUUAUUGGGCGUAAAGAGCUCGUAGGCGGUCUGUCGCGUCUGCUGUGAAAACCCGAGGCUCAACCUCGGGCCUGCAGUGGGUACGGGCAGACUAGAGUGCGGUAGGGGAGAAUGGAAUUCCUGGUGUAGCGGUGGAAUGCGCAGAUAUCAGGAGGAACACCGAUGGCGAAGGCAGUUCUCUGGGCCGUAACUGACGCUGAGGAGCGAAAGCGUGGGGAGCGAACAGGAUUAGAUACCCUGGUAGU